AUGAACGCUGGCGGCGUGCCUAAUACAUGCAAGUCGCGCGAACAGACGAGGAGCUUGCUCCUCUGACGUUAGCGGCGGACGGGUGAGUAACACGUGGAUAACCUACCUAUAAGACUGGGAUAACUUCGGGAAACCGGAGCUAAUACCGGAUAAUAUAUUGAACCGCAUGGUUCAAUAGUGAAAGACGGUUUUGCUGUCACUUAUAGAUGGAUCCGCGCCGCAUUAGCUAGUUGGUAAGGUAACGGCUUACCAAGGCAACGAUGCGUAGCCGACUUGAGAGGGUGAUCGGCCACACUGGAACUGAGACACGGUCCAGACUCCUACGGGAGGCAGCAGUAGGGAAUCUUCCGCAAUGGGCGAAAGCUUGACGGAGCAACGCCGCGUGAGUGAUGAAGGUCUUCGGAUCGUAAAACUCUGUUAUUAGGGAAGAACAAAUGUGUAAGUAACUAUGCACGUCUUGACGGUACCUAAUCAGAAAGCCACGGCUAACUACGUG
rnacentral:rRNA from 1 species